CCAUCAAGUUCAGCCUACCUCACAUUUGUUUUUUGCUGUUGAUCCAAAACACAUACAUGUCUAAUGGAUUCGCUCCAAAAGGUGCCCAGUGCCACUCUCCCUCCAAAUACAAAUUUUGAAAUGGACUGGAGAGGGAGGGUGUGUGUGUGUGUGUGUGCCGUUUUCUCUCUAAUGGUUUGAAAUUGGACCACCAGGUCCCUGGGUGCAGCGGUCGGUGCCUUCCGUGGUUUGGGUAUGCGGAACACUCCUGUGAAGGCUAUGUUCUUGGCCUGUCGUGGCGUGAGUAGGGAUGCCAUCAGUCUCCAUAGGAAAUGCGGGAUUUCCGCCUCUGGUAUGUCCUCGGGUACUCCUCUUAGC